rnacentral:rRNA from 1 species
AUUGAACGCUGGCGGCAGGCCUAACACAUGCAAGUCGAGCGAGCGGCGGACGGGUGAGUAAUGUCUGGGGACUGCCCGAUAGAGGGGGAUAACUACUGGAAACGGUGGCUAAUACCGCAUACUAUCGGAUAACCCAUAUGGGAUUAGCUAGUAGGUGGGGUAAAGGCUCACCUAGGCGACGAUCUCUAGCUGGUCUGAGAGGAUGAUAAGCACGUCUGGAACUGCGACACGGACAAGACUCCUACGGAGGCAGCAGUGGAGAAUAUUGCACAAUGGGCGCAAGAAUGAUGCAGCCAGGCCGCGUGUAGGAAGAAGGCCUUAGGGUUGUAAAGUACUUUCAGCGGGGAGGCGUUACCCGGAGAGGAAGCACCGGCUAACUCCGUGCCAGCAGCCGCGGUAAUAC